CCUACGGGAGGCAGCAGUGGGGAAUAUUGCACAAUGGGCGAAAGCCUGAUGCAGCGACGCCGCGUGAGGGAUGACGGCCUUCGGGUUGUAAACCUCUUUCAGCAGGGAAGAAGCGAAAGUGACGGUACCUGCAGAAGAAGCGCCGGCUAACUACGUGCCAGCAGCCGCGGUAAUACGUAGGGCGCAAGCGUUGUCCGGAAUUAUUGGGCGUAAAGAGCUCGUAGGCGGCUUGUCACGUCGGGUGUGAAAGCCCGGGGCUUAACCCCGGGUCUGCAUUCGAUACGGGCUAGCUAGAGUGUGGUAGGGGAGAUCGGAAUUCCUGGUGUAGCGGUGAAAUGCGCAGAUAUCAGGAGGAACACCGGUGGCGAAGGCGGAUCUCUGGGCCAUUACUGACGCUGAGGAGCGAAAGCGUGGGGAGCGAACAGGAUUAGAUACCCUGGUAGUCCACGCCGUAAACGGUGGGAACUAGGUGUUGGCGACAUUCCACGUCGUCGGUGCCGCAGCUAACGCAUUAAGUUCCCCGCCUGGGGAGUACGGCCGCAAGGCUAAAACUCAAAGGAAUUGA
rnacentral:rRNA from 1 species